UGAAGUUUAAAAAAGAAUAAUAAUAAAAUCUUAUUUUUUAUUAGUGGGCAUUCUAGUACUACAAAAUAUUUGUGUUGGAUUCUGUUGAUGCCAAAAUUAAAAUUAGGCGGGAACGGCUGAGAAGUGGGUGUAACUUUCACAAUCAUGGCUACACCACUCCCUCCACUACUAAAAACCGACCAAUAAUGUGGACUGAGAAGACAUCAUUAUAAAUAGUAACUUCAAAGCCUAUAAUAGGGGUUUUUCUCUUCCCUGAACGAGAAGACCACCGCAUUUUCAAUACUUACCUUUCUUGUAUUUAUCGUUUCCUAGGAAUAGUCUACAUGUAAUCUUUUUUACCCGCAUUUACUGCUUUUCUAGGAGUAGUUUUAAGUUUGAUCUCUGGAGUCUGUAUACCCCACGGGCACACUCUGUUGUAAUCUAGAUUUUCAGAGUCUGUAUGCCCUUUGGGCACAAUCUAUUUUGUAUGAGUUCCCAACUUCAUUUUAAUAUAUAAAGGCAUUCGGCUCUUUCAGCCGACCAGUCGCUAUGUAUUCCAUCCAUUCGGCUCAUCAGACCAACAGGAGCCUAGUUUGGGUCAGGUGCUUGGGCAAAUGACUCGGGUCCUACAAGUGUUUGACCAGAAUAGUCAUAGAUAUACUGCACGCUUGAAUGCAGUAUUAGCCGCAAUCACAGCUUCGAAUGA
rnacentral:lncRNA from 1 species